rnacentral:rRNA from 1 species
CCUACGGGUGGCAGCAGUGGGGAAUAUUGCACAAUGGGGGAAACCCUGAUGCAGCGACGCCGCGUGAGCGAUGAAGUCUUUCCGUAUGUAAAGCUCUAUCAGCAGGGAAGAAAAUGACGGUACCUGACUAAUACUCCCCGGCUAACUACGUACCAGCAGCCGCGGUAAUACGUAGGGGGCAAGCGUUAUCCGGAUUUACUGGGGGUAAAGGGAGCGUAGACGGCUGUGCAAGGCAGAUGUGAAAGCCCGGGGCUCAACCCCGGGACUGCAUUUGGAACUGUGUGGCUGGAGUGUCGGAGAGGCAGGCGGAAUUCGUAGUGUAGCGGUGAAAUGCGUAGAUAUUAGGAGGAACACCAGUGGCGAAGGCGGCCUGCUGGACGAUGACUGACGUUGAGGCUCGAAAGCGUGGGGAGCAAACAGGAUUAGAUACCCUGGUAGUC